rnacentral:rRNA from 1 species
AGCAUAAUCAUUAGUUUUUUAAUUGAUAACUUGUAUGAAUGGUUUGACGAAAUAUUGACUGUCUCUUAUUUAUUAUUAGAAAUUAAAUUUUGAGUUAAAAUGCUUAAAUUUUAUUAUUGGACGAGAAGACCCUAUAGAUCUUUAUUUUUAUUUAAUUUUUUUUGUUUGGUUUAUUUUUUUUCAAUUUUGUUUAAAUUUUGUUGGGGUGACAUGAAGAUAUAUUUAACUCUUUAUUUUUUUUUUUCAUUUAUUUAUGAAUUAUUGACCUUAUUUUAAUGUUAAAAGAUUUAGAUACCUUAGGGAUAACAGCGUAAUUUUUUUUGAGAGUUCAUAUUGACAAUAAAGGUUGCGACCUCGAUGUUGGAUUAAGAUAAGUUUUAGGUGCAGUAGCUUAUAACUGUUAGGUCUGUUC